AAACCGUUCGGGGUAAACGGACAGAGCCCGUGAAUCCGGGCGGCGGAAUUCAGAAUCGAUGGGCGUUCGCGCGCUCGUCGGUUUAAUAUUUCCGUCGCCGUUCACUCGGACGUCGCGACCCGUCUGGUGUCGGUCUUGGGAGCCGCGUUUCAAGUUCGUGGUCGCGUCGCUCUCGGGCGGCGUGACUACGAGGGCGCGGUGAUCGUCCGGCUGACUCGCCAGACGGUACGCUGUUACUGGUGACCUUUGCCGCCUUCGCGCGGCAAACGUGGUACCGGUCUGCGACGAAUUUUCGGGCCUCUUUCCGACCCGUCUUGAAACACGGACCAAGGAGUCUAACGUGCGCGCGAGUCGCGGGGUGUCGGGCGGCGGUGCGGCCAUCUUAUGGUGGUCUACCUGUCGUCCGUUAUAACGCGAAACCCGUACUCGUAGAA
rnacentral:rRNA from 1 species